ensembl:ncRNA lncRNA:CR44999 long non-coding RNA:CR44999
ACGGGCACUAUUUCUGUGGCGUCGCGUGUUCAGUUCACCGCGGGUAAUUCAGAGAAUCGCUUUGUGGAUUGGAUUUUUGCCUGUUUUCCGCCCGAUACAAAAAAAAAAAACCAAACGCUAUAUAAAUAGUUCUGUAGUAAAACCUGAAGCAACACGUUUUAAAAUAUACAACUACUACUAACAACUGUCACAGCCAAGUUACAAAAGUGCUAAAUCCCAGAAAUAACCUAAGAGCCGACUUAAAACCGCGCAAAUACAUAAAAAAAAAUCUUCUCCAAAGCAGAAACAAAAACUUGUGAAAAACUAGAAUUAAAAAAAGAUUUUUUAAAAAAAAUCAGCUAGUGCAAAAUAAACGGGAAGAAUUUUUUUUUGUGUCCCUUUUUUUGGUGUUUUUUCUCCGUCUUUCCCCUUCUUUGACGCAAAAAAAAAAGUGCCCAACUUGCUGGCGGCACGGGAACGGGAUAGAAAUAGAUAUAGCCGAAAGCGACUGGAAAGCAAAGGAAGCUAACUAAAUUGGAUUACAAUCAAUUAAAUAGAGACGGAUACGGAAACUAUGUUCAGCGAGACAGGCAUAUAACUCAGGAACUUAAGAUAUAUAGAAAGAAAAAAAAACCCAGACAACAUAAUCGCAAUGGCCCUUUACCGCUCUGAUCCGUAUUCCAUAAUGGACGACCAACUUUUUUCAAAUAUUUCAAUAUUCGAUAUGGAUAAUGAUCUGUACGAUAUGGACAAACUCCUUUCGUCGUCCACCAUUCAGAGUGAUCUCGAGAAGAUCGAGGACAUGGAAAGUGUAUUUCAAGACUAUGACUUAGAGGAGGAUAUGAAGCCAGAGAUCCGCAACAUCGACUGCAUGUGGCCGGCGAUGUCCAGCUGUUUGACCAGCGGUAACGGUAAUGGAAUAGAGAGCGGAAACAGUGCAGCCUCGUCGUACAGCGAAACCGGUGCCGUAUCCCUGGCGAUGGUUUCCGGCUCUACGAAUCUCUACAGCGCGUAUCAACGAUCGCAGACGACAGAUAACACCCAGUCAAAUCAACAGCAUGUCGUCAACAGUGCCGAGAACAUGCCGGUGAUCAUCAAGAAGGAGCUCGCAGAUCUGGACUACACGGUCUGUCAGAAGCGCCUCCGUUUGAGCGGCGGUGACAAGAAGUCACAGAUCCAGGACGAGGUCCAUUUAAUACCGCCCGGCGGAAGUUUGCUCCGCAAGCGGAACAACCAGGACAUUAUCCGCAAAUCGGGCGAAUUGAGCGGCAGCGAUAGCAUAAAAUACCAGAGACCAGACACACCUCACAGUCUUACCGACGAGGUGGCCGCCUCAGAGUUUAGACAUAACGUCGACUUGCGUGCCUGCGUGAUGGGCAGCAAUAAUAUCUCGCUGACCGGCAAUGAUAGCGAUGUCAACUACAUUAAGCAAAUCAGCAGGGAGCUUCAGAAUACCGGCAAGGAUCCGUUGCCGGUGCGUUACAUCCCGCCGAUCAACGAUGUCCUCGAUGUGCUCAACCAGCAUUCCAAUUCGACGGGUGGCCAACAGCAGUUGAACCAACAGCAACUGGACGAGCAACAACAGGCCAUCGAUAUAGCCACUGGACGCAACACAGUGGAUUCUCCGCCGACGACCGGCUCUGAUAGUGACUCCGAUGACGGUGAACCCCUCAACUUUGACCUGCGCCAUCAUCGCACUAGCAAAAGCGGCAGCAAUGCCAGCAUCACCACCAACAACAACAACAGCAACAACAAAAACAACAAAUUGAAGAACAACAGCAACGGCAUGCUGCACAUGAUGCACAUCACCGAUCACAGCUACACGCGCUGCAACGAUAUGGUGGACGAUGGUCCCAAUUUGGAGACCCCCUCAGAUUCCGGAGCUAGUGGAUUUGUAUGAACAUCGCAAUGAUGAAUGAAUGAUGUGAGUGAUUGGUGUACCCUUGGCUGAUUAUGCAAGUGGCUCGUAAAGCAGGAGUAACGGCAAAGUGUUUUAUAUGGCGAGUAAAGCGAAGUGAUGUCGAAUAAACUAGGAAUAAACUAAGC